GCUUCUCGCCUGUGUGCGAGCGGCUAUGCAUGUUGAGCUUGUCCCGUCGGCUGAAGCGCUUGUGGCAGAGCUCGCACUCGAACGGCUUCUCGCCUGAAGGGGCAGAUGGAGAAAGGACGACUCUACAAACAGCUACUGUAAGUGCCCAGUUCUUCAGAAUUGUCACCAAAGAUCUACAAGAGUCAUUUGUGGAUGCCUUGGUGCCAAGUCAGAAACAAAUGUUGGCAUUAAUCAGGUUGUAGUUUGCCUUUUUCAUUAAUAAGGAUUAUAGUUUAGGUGUCACGUUCACUUGCUCGUGUGUUUCUGUAUGACACAAACCAGAACAGAACAACAUCUGCCCUGCUUGGUCUCCUGCAAUACCUUUCAGAUGAUUCCUCCAACAUAAUUAAGAUGUGAGAAGCUCUCUUACUGAAGAGGGGCACCCACUCAAAUCACCCAGUUCCUGUUUGCCCAGGCAGUGCAGAAAUGGCUGCGGUAUGUGCCGGACCGGGUAGGUAGGAGUGGACGCCAACACCAGGAAUUGUGAAUGCUAAAGAAUUGUAAUAAAUGUGUUUAUGUACACUGAUGUUGUCGGGUGUAAUCCGUUCUGGGUUUUCAUCACUUUUUUCUACAGCCUGUCUGUAGACGAAGCAGGGUUUUUAGGCCUAAAUAUCAAUUUAUU